rnacentral:rRNA from 1 species
GUGGGGAAUAUUGCGCAAUGGGGGAAACCCUGACGCAGCAAUACCGCGUGAGUGAAGAAGGUUUUCGGAUCGUAAAACUCUUUUAUUGGGGAAGAAGAAGUGACGGUACCCAAUGAAGAAGUCCCGGCUAACUACGUGCCAGCAGCCGCGGUAAUACGUAGGGGACAAGCGUUGCCCGGAAUCACUGGGCGUAAAGGGCGCGUAGGCGGUUUUAUAAGUCAGAUGUGAAAGGUACCGGCUCAACCGGUGACGUGCAUUUGAAACUGUAAGACUUGAGUACUGGAGAGGCAAGUGGAAUUCCUAGUGUAGCGGUGAAAUGCGUAGAUAUUAGGAGGAACACCGGUGGCGAAGGCGGCUUGCUGGACAGAUACUGACGCUGAGGUGCGAAAGCGUGGGGAGCGAACAGGAUUAGAUACCCUAGUAGUCC